AUUGAACGCUGGCGGCAGGCCUAACACAUGCAAGUCGAGCGGAUGAAGGGAGCUUGCUCCUGGAUUCAGCGGCGGACGGGUGAGUAAUGCCUAGGAAUCUGCCUGGUAGUGGGGGAUAACGUCCGGAAACGGGCGCUAAUACCGCAUACGUCCUGAGGGAGAAAGUGGGGGAUCUUCGGACCUCACGCUAUCAGAUGAGCCUAGGUCGGAUUAGCUAGUUGGUGGGGUAAAGGCCUACCAAGGCGACGAUCCGUAACUGGUCUGAGAGGAUGAUCAGUCAAACUGGAACUGAGACACGGUCCAGACUCCUACGGGAGGCAGCAGUGGGGAAUAUUGGACAAUGGGCGAAAGCCUGAUCCAGCAUGCCGCGUGUGUGAAGAAGGUCUUCGGAUUGUAAAGCACUUUAAGUUGGGAGGAAGGGCAGUAAGUUAAUACCUUGCUGUUUUGACGUUACCAACAGAAUAAGCACCGGCUAACUUCGUG
rnacentral:rRNA from 1 species